rnacentral:rRNA from 2 species
UGGGGAAUAUUCCGCAAUGGACGAAAGUCUGACGGAGCAACGCCGCGUGAGUGAUGAAGGUUUUCGGACUGUAAAACUCUGUUGUCCGGGACGAAAGUGCGGGGUGCAAAUAGUGCCUUGUAUUGACGGUACCGGACGAGGAAGCCACGGCUAACUACGUGCCAGCAGCCGCGGUAAUACGUAGGUGGCAAGCGUUGUCCGGAAUUAUUGGGCGUAAAGAGCAUGUAGGUGGGCUGUUAAGUCUGUUGUGAAAAUGCGGGGCUCAACCCCGUAUUGCGAUGGAAACUGACAGUCUUGAGUGCAGGAGAGGAAAGGGGAAUUCCCAGUGUAGCGGUGAAAUGCGUAGAUAUUGGGAGGAACACCAGUGGCGAAGGCGCCUUUCUGGACUGUGUCUGACACUGAGAUGCGAAAGCUAGGGGAGCGAACGGG